UACGUAGGGGGCUAGCGUUGUCCGGAAUCAUUGGGCGUAAAGAGCGUGUAGGCGGCCCGGUAAGUCCGCUGUAAAAGUCAAAGGCUCAACCUUUGAAUGUCAGUGGAAACUGCCGGGCUAGAGUCCGGAAGAGGCGAGUGGAACUCCUGGUGUAGCGGUGGAAUGCGCAGAUAUCAGGAAGAACACCAACGGCGAAGGCAGCUCGCUGGGACGGUACUGACGCUGAGACGCGAAAGCGUGGGGAGCGAACAGG
rnacentral:rRNA from 1 species